AGAAAAUAUUCCUGUCAAUCAGUUUCUCUGUGUAGUUCGUGGUGUGUUGAAGUGUCGAGUCUAAAGAGGUAGGAGGGACUCUGGGUCAGUUCUGGAAACUUUUCUAAAUUGGAGCGAGGAGUUUCAGAGACAUGCUUCUAUAAAAGGAAGUUUAAUUCGAUGUGACGGCUUGGUUCUGAAUGCUGCAAUAGUGAGGUUUGAUAGCUAUUCUUUACUUUUAACUCUGGCCAUGAAGGAUCAUUCUUCAGGAUUUCUACUACUUGGAAUUUGUGACAAAUUAUAAAGGCUAGUGUCCCUCGUGUUGACGGGGAUUUGGUUGGGCAUCUUGCAAAUGAUCUACUAACUAAGUUUCUCUGGACUUUCACUAGACUAUAUACUGUCAUUCAGAGGUUAAUUUUCUAAAACUGUAGCGUUUGGAAAUAUUAGUUACAUACUUGCACUUAACGCUACAAAUUUAUAACUAGAUUACUGUACCAAAAUUAUUUCUCUACAAACUUUUUUAUAAUAAACCAGUAUUACUCUUAUUGCUUAGCAUCGUUUAAGUGUAGUAUUUUAAGUCUCUUUUACGGGGUCACUUACAAAUUUGAUUAUCUUGGUUCUCAUAGAUACUCUCAUAGAUUUUGUAUUUCUUAGCAUCCUACUAGUGUAUGUCUUAUUUACUAAGUUUUUUAAAUAUAUGUACUUUGAAAAACCAGAUUUUGUCGAAAUCUGGCGUGCAAAAUUAAAUCUGGCGUGCAAAAUGCCGUUUUAAUCUUAAAAUAUUCUCCUUAAUAGAAAUUAGUUCAAAAAGUGUGUAAUCAUGUACUAUUGUCACAAAUUUGACUGAAGAUUGUCACAACUCUUCAAGUUUAUUCACUAUUGUAUUUAUUUUCUAUACAGAUUUUUAUAAAUUAAUAACUAAUUACUUUCUAAUCAGUCGUUUAGUAGUUAUUUUAAUGGCACUUACUACAUUACCUGAAGACUUAAUAAAAAUAAAAUUUAAAGUGUGACAAUAUCUAAAACUAGUAUAAUUAAGUGUGAGUUGAGGAGAGAAUUAAGACUGCCUAGUUUAAGUAUGGAUGUUCUAAAUAUUCUAAAUAGUUCCAGAGGGAUUGCAUUGAAAGGAAAGUCUGUCAAAAGGCAGUAAGCCAAAAAAUCUAAUCCUAUGCAGAAACUGAGCUAGGUAAGACCUUUAGUGUAUCUCUGAAGUAUUUUAAAACCGUUAGUUAUUAACGGUUAACAUUUGAAGCUAGGCAGUGCUAGUUGGUAGUAGCUUUCCUUACGGGUGACAAAGGCAACAGUUUUUACUUCAAGUUGAAAACUACAGUAAUGUAUGAAC